UUGGGCAGUGGAGACAUUGUCCUUCAGUUAGGCUGGCCCCAGAACAGGUGCUGCAUGGCUGUCGUCAGCUCGUGUCGUGAGAUGUUGGGUUAAGUCCCGCAACGAGCGCAACCCUCGCCCUUAGUUGCCAGCAUUUAGUUGGGCACUCUAAGGGGACUGCCGGUGAUAAGCCGAGAGGAAGGUGGGGAUGACGUCAAGUCCUCAUGGCCCUUACGGGCUGGGCUACACACGUGCUACAAUGGUGGUGACAGUGGGCAGCGAGACAGCGAUGUCGAGCUAAUCUCCAAAAGCCAUCUCAGUUCGGAUUGCACUCUGCAACUCGAGUGCAUGAAGUUGGAAUCGCUAGUAAUCGCAGAUC
rnacentral:rRNA from 1 species